UAGCAUAGUUGGUAGUGCGUCUGCCUUGUAAGCGCUAGGCCGCGGGUUCGAUUCCCAC
rnacentral:tRNA from 1 species